rnacentral:rRNA from 1 species
UACGUAGGGCGCGAGCGUGUCCGGAAUUAUUGGGCGUAAAGAGCUCGUAGGCGGCUUGUCGCGUCGGAUGUGAAAGCCCGGGGCUUAACCCCGGGUCUGCAUUCGAUACGGGCAGGCUAGAGUUCGGUAGGGGAGAUCGGAAUUCCUGGUGUAGCGGUGAAAUGCGUAGAUAUCUGGAGGAACACCGGUGGCGAAGGCGGCGUCCUGGACCAACACUGACACUGAGGAGCGAAAGCCAGGGGAGCAAACGGG